rnacentral:rRNA from 1 species
GACGAACCGUGCGAACGUUAUUCGGAAUCACUGGGCUUAAAGCGCGUGUAGGCGGGCCGGCACGUCGGCCGCUGAAAGCCCCCGGCUCAACCGGGGAAGCGGCGCCGAUACGACCGGCCUGGAGGGGGGUAGGGGGGAGCCGGAACUCACGGUGGAGCGGUGAAAUGCGUUGAGAUCGUGAGGAACGCCCGUGGCGAAAGCGGGCUCCUGGGCCCCGCCUGACGCUGAGACGCGAAAGCCAG